rnacentral:tRNA from 1 species
CGUCGGCCUUCGACCGGGACGGGAUCACCGCGCGGCUGGCCCGGUUGACGCCGGACACGGUGUCCGGCAGUGCGAAGCCGUCGGCCGGUGA